GACGAACGCUGGCGGCGUGCUUAACACAUGCAAGUCGAACGAAGUGGCGAACGGGUGAGUAACGCGUAAUCACCCUGCCCUUCAGAGGGGGACAACCGUUGGAAACGACUGCUAAUACCGCAUAAUGAAGGAGGGGAUUGCGUCUGAUUAGCUAGUUGGAGGGGUAACGGCACCACAAGGCGAUGCUCAGUAGCCGGUCGGAGAGGAUGAACGGGCAAAGUGGGACUGAGGAACGGCCCAGACUCCUACGGGAGGCAGCAGUGGGGAAUCUUCCGCAAUGGACGAAAGUCUGACGGAGCAACGCCGCUGGAGUGAUGACGGCCUUCGGGUUGUAAAGCUCUGUUAAUCGGGACGCGGUACCGGAAUAGAAAGCCACGGCUAACUACGUGCCAGCAGCCGCGGUAAUUC
rnacentral:rRNA from 1 species